GUGCGUCUGUGUGUCUGAGCGUGGGUGUGUGCGUGUGUGUGUGCGUCUGUGUGUCUGAGCCUGGGUGUGUGUGUGUGUGUGUGCGUCUGUGUGUCUGAGCGUGGGUGUGUGUGUGUGUGUGUGCGUCUGUGUGUCUGAGCCUGGGUGUGUGUGUGUGUGUGUGUGUGUGUGUGUGUGUGCGUCUGUGUGUCUGAGCCUGGGUGUGUGUGUGUGUGUGCGUCUGUGUGUCUGAGCCUGGGUGUGUGUGUGUGUGUGUGCGUCUGUGUGUCUGAGCCUGGGUGUGUGUGUGUGUGUGUGUGUGUGUGUGCAUGUUUCAGUGGUAGGGAGUGUUUUGGGCAUUACUCUGGAUGGAGAAACACAGAAGAGAAAGGAAGGAGACAGAGGAUGAUGAAGGGGAACAUGAGGAGGAUGAAGGGUAAUAGGAGGAGGAUGAAGGGGAACAUGAGGAGGAUGAAGGGUAAUAGGAGGAGGAUGAAGGGGAACAUGAGGAGGAUGAAGGGUAAUAGGAGGAGGAUGAAGGGUAAUAGGAGGAGGAUGAAGGGUAAUAGGAGGAGGAUGAAGGGUAAUAGGAGGAGGAUGAAGGGUAACAUGAGGAGGAUGAAGGGUAAUAGGAGGAGGAUGAAGGGUAACAUGAGGAGGAUGAAAGUAACAUGAGGA
ensembl:lncRNA